rnacentral:misc_RNA from 1 species
AAUGCACGCUUUACGUACGCAGCUUCGUGUAGGUGGCAGCGAAAGCCUCUCACCGCGCUUGGCGCUAUCCGUUCUGGUUCGUUUCCGACUUGCUCGUUGCUCCGAAACCGGACCUGCCGCUGUGAUCGAUCUCUAGCUGCUCCAUUCCGUGGUUUCUUGCGCUUCACGUUGGCUUUGUCGGGCACGCGUACCCUGGAGGCUCUUGCUAUUCGGAGCACUAGAAGCGUUUCAAAGGAGAGCCUUGCUCCGAGAUGUGCGUUGCAAGCAUGCCAGCGUUUGCGCCACAUCUCGACGCAUACGAGCAACCGACGAUGAUGACCCAGCGGAGCGAGCGUCCAUCGACGUGAUCGCUGAAGAGCGGGUACCUUGGGUAUCGUCGCUAACCGCCCGAACGACGCACUGAGCUUUCUACGGCCGAGGAGCUGCCCCAAGGCUAGAGCAGAACCCUCACUGCAUCGUUUGGUGAGGUCGUGAACGUCUACGGUCUUCCGUUUUUUACCUAGACGGUGCUCUGGACCUCUUUCGCGAAGUGCUGCACUACAUUCGUCACCUGCAAGUGGGUGCUCUUCGAAUAUGGACAGAAGCGCAUCAAACGCGGCAUCAACUGGACAGCGAGCACGAAUACCGCUCUAUUCUUGCUUCAUCUUGUAUAUGUCCUGCGUUCAGAUCGUAUCCGGUAUGCAUCUGAUUCCAUCGCAGACCACAUUUCACCCGCACCGAGCGCGUCGAAAACGUUGGUAGCAUAUAAUCCGUCGUUGCGAGGGAUACGGUGUCAGGGAUGCUGCGACUGAUGAUGCCGCCUGUGCGCUCCGAGCCUUUUCCAUGAAAACGCUUUCACUGAUCGAUUUUCAUGGGAAACGACGCUCAUACUUCUUCGUGACGCUCGACGCGAACGAACGCUGCUUGCAUCAUUUGAUGCACCUCAUCGAAUGUGACGCUAAACCUUCAGCGUACUGAGCGCUCUGCAUACCACAAAAUAUUUUGCAUGGUCGCACGAGACAUGCAUGCAAUUUUCGAACAGCGAAUCUUCCGGAUCUGACAUACAAUGAAUCGCACAGGGUGUCUCCGUUCCGAGAAGAGCGCGCCUGCGCACCUCGGCGGUCGCUAUUGGGACGAACGGACGGACGAACUGGCUGACGGAUAAGCGGACGCGUUUCUGGCGCUGGCGCUCAUGUUGGUCAACGACUCGCUUUCGGCAUUGCCGCUAAGCAAGGAGCAUGGCUGGCAAUCCCUGUGCUAGACUAGGAACGUUCCGAGUCGCCGAGGCAUGCGCAUCCGUACCGAACAUUGAUUCUGGCGGCAGUAGUGAGAGGCAGCAUUCGCCACCGAGGAGGCCGCAGACCUGCACAAAUACACCGCGACACGCCUUCGAGUCGAUGCCUGCACAGACACUGCAAAGUUUUUCUAUAUUCGGAUAGCGUUCUCGGUGGUGCCGAUGUAUCCAGUGUUGCUGGGAGCGCUUCUAUGACGCUCGAAACCCAGCGAUCAAAUGCUGCUAGAGCGAUCAACGCUGUAUGCGAACAGGGAAACUGGUGUGGGGCCCUGUGCGCUCUAAAGACUUCUGCCAUUUACCGGCGCUCUCUUUCGUGGUUGCCAGUAGCAGCCGCGUAUUCUUGAAGCUCUGGCUCACGCCCUAGUCUUUUGAUCAACAAAAGAACGAGGCACCUGCGCUCGUAAAUGAAUGCUUCCAUA